CGUAGGUGGCAAGCGUUGUCCGGAAUUAUUGGGCGUAAAGCGCGCGCAGGCGGCUUCUUAAGUCCAUCUUAAAAGUGCGGGGCUUAACCCCGUGAUGGGAUGGAAACUGAGAGGCUGGAGUAUCGGAGAGGAAAGUGGAAUUCCUAGUGUAGCGGUGAAAUGCGUAGAGAUUAGGAAGAACACCGGUGGCGAAGGCGACUUUCUGGACGACAACUGACGCUGAGGCGCGAAAGCGUGGGGAGCAAACAGGAUU
rnacentral:rRNA from 1 species